rnacentral:rRNA from 1 species
CUAAGAGCGUAGGGUGAAUGCCUUGGCACCAAGAGCCGAUGAAGGACGUGAUAAGCUGCGAAAAGCUGUGAGUAGGAGCAAAUAUCCAUUUAAUCACAGAUGUCCGAAUGAGGGAACUCAGGUCGUGGAAAAAGACGGCCUAUCUAUACAUGAGUAAAGUAGUGUAUAGAGGGGAACGUGGGGAACUGAAACAUCUAAGUACCCACAGGAAAAGAAAGAAAACUCGAUUCCUAAAGUAGUGGCGAGCGAAAUAGGAAGAGCCUAAACCAGAAGAAGUAAUUCAUCUGGGGUUAUGGACUACAUAAUUGAUUCAAGAGAUUUAGCAGAAUUGUUUGGAAAGACAGACCAAAGAUAGUGAAAGUCUAGUAUGCGAAAAAUCAAUUGACAUGGUAGUAUCCGGAGUAGUGCGAGACACGUGAAAUCUCGUAUGAAGAUUGGGGGACCACCCCCAAAGGCUAAAUACUACUUGGUGACCGAUAGUGAAGCAGUACCGUGAGGGAAAGGUGAAAAGAACCCCGGGAGGGGAGUGAAAAAGAACCUGAAACCCUAUGUUUACAAGCAGAUAGAGCACGUUAAGGUGCGAUAUCGUACUUUUUGUAGAACGGUCCGGCGAGUUAUUUUAUAUGGCAAGAUUAAGUACUUAAGGUACGAAGUCGAAGAGAAAUCGAGUCUGAAAAGGGCGAAAAAGUCAUAUGAAAUAGACCCGAAACCGAGUGACCUAUCCAUGGUCAGGAUGAAGCUUGAGUAAAAUCAAGUGGAGGUCCGAACUCAUAAGCGUUAAAAAGCUUCGGGAUGAACUGUGGAUAGCGGAGAAAUUCCAAUCGAACUCGGAGAUAGCUGGUUCUCCUCGAAAUAGCUUUAGGGCUAGCCUUGUUUAGUAGCAUGUGGAGGUAAAGCACUGAAUAUGUGAGGGUUCUUACCAGAAUACCGAUCAUUAUCAAACUCUGAAUGCCAUGUGUGUAAGAACAGGAGUCAGACAGUGACAGCUAAGUGCCAUUGUCAAAAGGGAAAGAGCCCAGACCAACAGCUAAGGUCCCAAAAUUGUAGUUAAGUGGAAAAGGAUGUGGGAAUUCAUAGACAACCAGGAUGUUGGCUCAGAAGCAGCCAUUCAUUUAAAGAGUGCGUAAAAGCUCACUGGUCGAAGUAGGCCUGCGCCGAAAAUUACCGGGGCUAAACUACAUACCGAAGCUUUGGAUUUGGUACGUAAAGUAUUAAGUGGUAGAGGAGCGUUGUAUAAAGGUUGAAGCUAUACUGAAAAGAGUAGUGGACGAUAUACAAGAGAGAAUGCCGGAAUAAGUAGCGAGAGCACAGUGAGAAUCUGUGCCGCCGAAAACCUAAGGUUUCCUGGGGAAGGUUCGUCCGCCCAGGGUAAGUCGGGACCUAAGACGAGGCUAAAGCAGCGUAGUCGAUGGAAAGCAGGUAAAAGAUUCCUGCACUACCGAAAUGCGAUAUACAAUAUAUCAUGACGCAUCAGAGGAGUCUAAGCGAGCAAAUGGAAAAGUUCGUACCGCAAGGUGGAGUGAAAAAAUAGUAGCGAAGUAGACAAAUCAGGUGACAAGAAAAGUGAUAUAGGAGCAUAGAGGUACUCGUACCGUAAACCGACACAGGUGGGAAGAAAGAGAAUUUUCAGGCGAACGAGAGAAUCAUUGUUAAGGAACUCGGCAAAUUAACCCCGUAACUUAGGGAUAAGGGGAGCCAAUAGCGAUAUUGGUCGCAGAGAAAUGGCCCAAGCAACUGUUUAGCAAAAACACAGGUUUCUGCCAAAUCGAAAGAUGAAGUAUAGGAGCUGACGCCUGCCCAGUGCUGGAAGGUCAAGGGGAAGAGUAAACGUUUCGAUGUGAAGCUCUGAACUUAAGCCCCAGUGAACGGCGGCCGUAACUAUAACGGUCCUAAGGUAGCGAAAUUCCUUGUCAGGUAAGUUCUGACCCGCACGAAAGGCGUAAUGAUUUGGGCACUGUCUCGACAAUGAACUCGGCGAAAUUGUAGUACUAGUGAAGAUGCUAGUUACCUGUGAUAAGACAGAAAGACCCCAUGGAGCUUUACUGUAGCUUGAUAUUGAGACUAGGUAAGAGAUGUACAGAAUAGAUGGGAGACUAUGAGAUAAGGACGCCAGUUCUUAAGGAGUCACCUUUGGGAUACCAUCCUUCUUUUACUUGGAAUCUAACUAGUUACCAUGAUCUGGUAAUAGGACAGUGUCAGGUGGGCAGUUUGACUGGGGCGGUCGCCUCCUAAAGAGUAACGGAGGCGUUCAAAGGUCAGCUUAACACGGUCAGAAAUCGUGUGAUGACGUGCAAAGGCGUAAGCUGGCUUGACUGCGAGACUGACAGGUCGAGCAGACGCGAAAGCGGGACUUAGUGACCCGAUGGUUGUGAGUGGAAAUGCCAGAGCUCAACGGAUAAAAGUUACCCUGGGGAUAACAGGCUUAUCUCCCCCGAGAGUCCAUAUCGACGGGGAGGUUUGGCACCUCGAUGUCGGCUCAUCGCAUCCUGGAGCGGUAGUACGUUCCAAGGGUUGGGCUGUUCGCCCAUUAAAGCGGUACGCGAGCUGGGUUCAGAACGUCGUGAGACAGUUCGGUCCUUAUCUAUCACAGGCGUAAGAUAUUUGAGAGGAGUUGCCCCUAGUACGAGAGGACCGGGGUGAAGGAACCGAUGGUGCACCAGUUGUAUCACCAGAUGCAUAGCUGGGUAGCCAAGUUUCGAUGGGAUAAACGCUGAAAGCAUAUAAGCGUGAAGCCCACCUCAAGAUUAGAUAUCUCAUGGCGAAAGUCAGUAAGACCCCAAGAAGACUACUUGGUUGAUAGGCUGGAAGUGUAAGUGUAGUAAUAUAUUAAGCGGACCAGUACUAAUAGGUCGAGGGCUUGACCA